CUGCCCAGGACUGCAGCCUGCUAGCAUUUUUCAAAGCCAGAACUUACUCCAUUUUCUAUGCAAAUGUCAGAAAAGCGAAACAACCUCUCUCUCAAGUCUGAGAAGGGGAAAGGACGGCUCUCAGGUUGGGACAAUAUUAUCUGGAAGCUGAAGAAGAAAACCGAAUGCUCCUUUUUCCCUCCCUCCCCACCCUUUUGGAACCGGAGGGGGGCAAAAAAACCCAAGUUCUGCAAAGGCGCGGCGCUCGGACUAUAAAACACAACAAAUCAUAAACCCGGCGGAGCAGCAGCGGCCG
rnacentral:lncRNA from 1 species